GGUGGCUCAGUGGUAGAGUGCUUGCCUUGUAUGCAUGAGUCCCUGGGUUCAAUUCCUCAGCACCA
rnacentral:tRNA from 1 species